AGGACGAACGCUGGCGGCGUGCCUAAUACAUGCAAGUCGAGCGGAAUGAUGAAGAAGCUUGCUUCUUCUGAUUUUAGCGGCGGACGGGUGAGUAACACGUGGGCAACCUACCUUGUAGAUUGGGAUAACUCCGGGAAACCGGGGCUAAUACCGAAUAAUCCAUUUUGCUUCAUGGCGAGAUGCUAAAAGGCGGCUUCGGCUGUCACUACGAGAUGGGCCCGCGGCGCAUUAGCUAGUUGGUAGGGUAACGGCCUACCAAGGCAACGAUGCGUAGCCGACCUGAGAGGGUGAUCGGCCACACUGGGACUGAGACACGGCCCAGACUCCUACGGGAGGCAGCAGUAGGGAAUCUUCCACAAUGGACGAAAGUCUGAUGGAGCAACGCCGCGUGAGUGAAGAAGGUUUUCGGAUCGUAAAACUCUGUUGUAAGGGAAGAACACGUACGAGAGUAACUGCUCGUACCUUGACGGUACCUUAUUAGAAAGCCACGGCUAACUACGUGCCAGCAGCCGCGGUAAUACGUAGGUGGCAAGCGUUGUCCGGAAUUAUUGGGCGUAAAGCGCGCGCAGGCGGUCCUUUAAGUCUGAUGUGAAAGCCCACGGCUCAACCGUGGAGGGUCAUUGGAAACUGGGGGACUUGAGUACAGAAGAGGAAAGCGGAAUUC
rnacentral:rRNA from 1 species